CCUGGUUGAUCCUGCCAGUAGUCAUAUGCUUGUCUCAAAGAUUAAGCCAUGCAUGUGUAAGCACACACUGUUUAAAAGUGAAGCCGCGAAUGGCUCAUUACAACAGCCACAGUUUAUUAGAACUUACAAUCAUGGAUAACUGUGGUAAUUCUAGAGCUAAUACACGCACAAAAACUUCAACUGAAUUGGUUGAAGUGCUUUUAUUAGAACAAAAACCGAACGGCGUUUGACGAAUGUUGAACGUCGAAACUGUUUGGUGAAUCUGAAUAACUAUUUCUGAUCGCAUGGUCUAGCACCGGCGACAUCACUUUCAAGUGUCUGCCUUAUCAACCUUCGAUGGUAGUCUAUGCGACUACCAUGGUGAUAACGGGUAACGGAGAAUCAGGGUUCGACUCCGGAGAGGGAGCCUGAGAAACGGCUACCACAUCCAAGGAAGGCAGCAGGCGCGCAAAUUACCCACUCCCAGCUUGGGGAGGUAGUGACGAAAAAUAACGAGACGAUUCUCGUUUGAGAAACGUUAUCGAAAUGAGUACGCUUUACACACGCUAACGAGUAGCAAUUGGAGGGCAAGUCUGGUGCCAGCAGCCGCGGUAAUUCCAGCUCCAAUAGCGUAUAUUAAAGUUGCUGCGGUUAAAACGCUCGUAGUUGAAUUGUGGUCUUAGACAACAGUCCCCCUACAUAGGUGUGGCACGGUUGCUCGAGAUCUUCAUUCGUGGUUGCUGUUGUUGCUCUUCAUUGAGUGUCAAUGGUGCCUCGAGAUUUUACUUUGAAAAAAUUAGAGUGCUCAAAGCAGGUUGUGAUGCCUGAAUAAUGGUGCAUGGAAUAAUAGAAUACGAUCUCGGUUCUAUUUUGUUGUUUUCGAACCGGAGAUAAUGAUUGAAAGGAACAGACGGGGGCAUUCGUAUUGCUGCGUUAGAGGUGAAAUUCUUGGAUCGCAGCAAGAUGAACAAUUGCGAAAGCAUUUGCCAAGAAUGUUUUCAUUAAUCAAGAACGAAAGUUAGAGGUUCGAAGGCGAUCAGAUACCGCCCUAGUUCUAACGGUAAACUAUGCCAACCAGCGAUUCGCCGAAGUUCAUUUAAGACUCGGCGAGCAGCUUCCGGGAAACCAAAGUGUUUCGGUUCCGGGGGAAGUAUGGUUGCAAAGCUGAAACUUAAAGGAAUUGACGGAAGGGCACCACCAGGAGUGGAGCCUGCGGCUUAAUUUGACGCAACACGGGAAAACUCACCCGGCCCGGACACUGGAAGGAUUGACAGAUUGACAGCUCUUUCUUGAUUCAGUGGGUAGUGGUGCAUGGCCGUUCUUAGUUGGUGGAGCGAUUUGUCUGGUUAAUUCCGAUAACGAACGAGACUCUACCCUAUUAAAUAGUGACAGUAUUGUAUUUUUUGUGCUGAUCACUUCUUAGAGGGACUGGCAAAUUGAAAGCUGCACGAAAAAGAGCAAUAACAGGUCUGUGAUGCCCUUCGAUGUCCGGGGCUGCACGCGCGCUACAAUGAAAGCGUCAACGUGAGUUACGUCCUUACCUGAAAAGGUUUGGCAAUCGAAUGAAACGUUUUCUUGAAUGGAAUAGGGAAUUGCAAUUGUUUCCCUUGAACGAGGAAUUCCCAGUAAGCGUGAGUCAUUAGCUCGCGUUGAUUACGUCCCUGCCCUUUGUACACACCGCCCGUCGCUACUACCGAUUGGAUGAUUUAGUGAGGUGUUUUGACUGGCGCCAGUAGUCGGAUGUAUUCGGCUUCGCGCCGGGAAAUUUCCCAAACCAAAUCAUCUAGAGGAAGUAAAAGUCGUAACAAGGUUUCCGUAGGUGAACCUGCGGAAG
rnacentral:rRNA from 1 species